rnacentral:rRNA from 1 species
GAUGAACGCUGGCGGCGUGCCUAAUACAUGCCAGUCGAGCGAACAGACGAGGAGCUUGCUCCUCUGACGUUAGCGGCGGACGGGUGAGUAACACGUGGAUAACCUACAUAUAAGACUGGGAUAACUUCGGGAAACCGGAGCUAAUACCGGAUAAUAUAUUGAACCGCAUGGUUCAAUAGUGAAAGACGGUUUUGCUGUCACUUAUAGAUGGAUCCGCGCCGCAUUAGCUAGUUGGUAAGGUAACGGCUUACCAAGGCAACGAUGCGUAGCCGACCUGAGAGGGUGAUCGGCCACACUGGAACUGAGACACGGUCCAGACUCCUACGGGAGGCAGCAGUAGGGAAUCUUCCGCAAUGGGCUAAAGCCUGACGGAGCAACGCCGCGUGAGUGAUGAAGGUCUUCUGAUCGUAAAACUCUGUUAUUAGGGAAGAACAAAUGUGUAAGUAACUAUGCACGUCUUGACGGUACCUAAUCAGAAAGCCACGGCUAACUACGUG